rnacentral:piRNA from 1 species
CAGUGAAUGAGGGAACGGAACUGAGGACCG